CAUCCUGGAUCAGAUCUAACUAGGAAGGGAGUCUUAAAAAAGAAAACUUUGUUCUACUUCUCAAAACUAUGGCCUGGCAAGGACCCAGACAUCAUUAAGGCAUUUCUGGACUCGCCAAGGAGCAUCCUGGCCUGACUACGAAUCAGUCUUCGGCAUCACUUGUCCUUGCUCUGAAGCCUGCCAUGGUCCUCCCCAGCUGCUGCCUUUGCCAACUCCAUCUCAGCCAGACAACUGCCCCUGUCUCCGCUGUCCCUGUGGGUGGCGCAAGGGUUCUGUGGUCGCUGAUCUGGGCUGGACAGAGCUGCCCCUGGGCUGAGCUGCAGGAAGUGGUGCCAGGGACCCUCCGAGAGGCUCUCUGGGUGGGAGGAGAGGGCUCUUUGGUGGUUUCAUCACUCGUGUAUGUCUGUGUAUCCACCCCCACCAUCAAGAUACGGAGCAGUUCUAACAUCCCAAGGGUGCCCUUCUCCUUCAGCUGCAAUCAGGGGGCUUCCAGUGUGAAAUGUGAGACUAAAGACAGAGUGAGUGCAGGGGAAGGAAAAAAAUAGAGGAAACAACCUCAGCUCAACAACCUUGGUAACAGGAAACAACCUCAGGAAUACAACAGAUUGCUGGGAGAUGUGAAUACAUCAAAAGUACAGGGACUGAGCAGGAUCGCCUAGGUUACAAAUAAAUAAAUAAAAUCUCCAAAU
ensembl:lncRNA